AAAGUUGUUUUUCUAGAGUGCUCUGUGGAUUACCGAAAAAUAAUUUACCGCUCUUUUUUUUUAGCGUUCGCGUGCGCAGUGGUGUUGUUUGGUGUGCGAAUACGCGUCGUUUUUGGUGGGGGAGCCCCGACAGCCGAACAGCGCCAGUGGUAGUGGUGCUAAUCGGCGCGAUUGCGGCGUUCGCGUGUGAAGGUGAGACACAUGAAUCAUCGCUUCUUUCUGAGAGACGUGAUCCACCAAACUUAGGUAUAAGUUUUGAUUUCUAAGAGAUAAGGAACCAUCACACCUCAACGAAUAGUAUUAAGAAUUGAUAUUUACCCAUACAGAGAAAAAUAAUGUUAUUGUUAGCCGUAGGUUUAAAUGACAUGUAUUUUUAAAUUGUAUUUAUAAAAGAGAAAAGAUGAGAGGGUUUUUAUGCCUGUUUGAGGAGGAGCAGUCGGGAUACAGGCUCUACUCAAGCUGGCUUUUCCCUACUCCAAAAGA